GGGGCCCUGCAGCGGCAGCGGGGGCGACCUCCUCAUCAGCGAGCAGCACCUAGAAGGGAAGCAGAGGCAAGGAAGCUCUCGCGGGCCAACCGUCACCGGGCAGGGCACAAAAGCAGGACCACACAGGAUACAAGCUUCAGAUGUGGAUGUCACCCUACGUUGCAAAUGAUAGGAUCAGUGCCCACAGGGACAGGGGAGAAGGGCAGAUUGCACUGUCGCUGAACUCAUCACCGCCCAGUUCAUAAGACCUCAGGACCAAGACUUGGAACCCCUAUCUCCUGACUACAAGAAUGCGCUACCCUCAACGUGCUAAGGUGGUUGUGAAAUCUGAGGAAUGUAGUUUCGGCUUUAAAAGAGUGCUUUGUUGAGUCUAACAAAUACUUGGAAUACUCUGCCAGUAAGUCAAGUCGUAUAAUUCUACUUCAAGGUACUUUCAAAGACAGAAUUGGCUCUUUUACAAAACCUUCCAUCGCCCUAC